GUUUGACAGUAGUUGACAACCUCAAACUAGCGCGAUUAAUUUACAGUUUAGCCGAUGUAAAGCGUUGGAUGUUAAAAAGUUAAGCAGUGAUGUAACAACUAUUGAUCACCGGUGCUCAGUGCUGGUGUUAUCGCAAACUCUAUUAUCCUGGCAAGCACUCCUGACGGAUUCGGCUCUGCACGUCGCACACUCGACCGACACUUUUCGAAGCCUUUAUCUUUAACCGCAUUAACGCAUUAAAGUGGGCCCCGCCGAUACGCCGCAUCAAGGACUUUAGAAGUAAUCAGAUUAAGCGUACAUUCAUUGGCCGUGACGACCCCGACACCACCUUCGACGACGUCACAUUUUUCGACACCUUAGAACUAGCCGGGACGACACCGACACGUGGAUCGAUAGCGCGCUACCAACAAACAAUGAGCGCCAUACCGGGGACGAAAACACCGGCUAGACGUCAUAAUCCCUUCGAAUUCAUGUUUCAUGAUCCGACAUCGUGUCUUUGCUACCGCUCUAGGCUCGCUCAUUAUUAUUAAUUGAAAAGUCAGUUCGCAGUUGCGCCCAAGGGUGAAAUUAUAUUUUCUUGGCAAUACACACAUGAAUAUUAAUAAUCAUUAUUCCCACGAGCA